rnacentral:rRNA from 1 species
AGAGUUUGAUCCUGGCUCAGGAUGAACGCUAGCGGGAGGCCUAACACAUGCAAGCCGAGCGGUAUUGUUUCUUCGGAAAUGAGAGAGCGGCGUACGGGUGCGGAACACGUGUGCAACCUGCCUUUAUCUGGGGGAUAGCCUUUCGAAAGGAAGAUUAAUACUCCAUAAUAUAUUGAACGGCAUCGUUUAAUAUUGAAAGCUCCGGCGGAUAGAGAUGGGCACGCGCAAGAUUAGCUAGUUGGUGAGGUAACGGCUCACCAAGGCGAUGAUCUUUAGGGGCCUGAGAGGGUGAUCCCCCACACUGGUACUGAGACACGGACCAGACUCCUACGGGAGGCAGCAGUGAGGAAUAUUGGUCAAUGGGUGCAAGCCUGAACCAGCCAUCCCCGCGUGAAGGACGACUGCCCUAUGGGUUGUAAACUUCAUUUGUAUAGGGAUAAACCUACCCUCGUGAGGGUAGCUGAAGGUACUAUACGAAUAAGCACCGGCUAACUCCGUG